rnacentral:rRNA from 1 species
UACAGAGGUGGCAAGCGUUGCUCGGUAUCACUGGGCUUAAAGGGCGCGUAGGCGGUGCGGUGCGGUUUCGGUGAAAUCCCUCGGCCCAACCGAGGAACAGCCGGGGCUACGGCCGCGCUAGACGGCAUCAGGGGACAGUGGAACUCCCGGUGGAGCGGUGAAAUGCGUAGAUAUCGGGAGGAACGCCGGUGGCGAAAGCGACUGUCUGGGGUGCCUGUGACGCUGAGGCGCGAAAGCCAGGGGAUCAAACGGG